GACGAACGCUGGCGGCGUGCCUAAUACAUGCAAGUUGAGCGCUGAAGGUUGGUACUUGUACCAACUGGAUGAGCAGCGAACGGGUGAGUACCGCGUGGGGAAUCUGCCUUUGAGCGGGGGACAACAUUUGGAAACGAAUGCUAAUACCGCAUAAAAACUUUAAACACAAGUUUUAAGUUUGAAAGAUGCAAUUGCAUCACUCAAAGAUGAUCCCGCGUUGUAUUAGCUAGUUGGUGAGGUAAAGGCUCACCAAGGCGAUGAUACAUAGCCGACCUGAGAGGGUGAUCGGCCACAUUGGGACUGAGACACGGCCCCAACUCCUACGGGAGGCAGCAGUAGGGAAUCUUCGGCAAUGGACGAAAGUCUGACCGAGCAACGCCGCGUGAGUGAAGAAGGUUUUCGGAUCGUAAAACUCUGUUGGUAGAGAAGAACGUUGGUGAGAGUGGAAAGCUCAUCAAGUGACGGUAACUACCCAGAAAGGGACGGCUAACUACGUG
rnacentral:rRNA from 1 species